rnacentral:lncRNA from 1 species
AUCAUGAUUCAAAUUUCAUUUCAAGGAUAGCAUUCAAGAAUUCAAAUUAAAGAAUAUUCAAAUUAAAGAAUAUUCAAAUUGAAAAUGAAGGCAAAGUUGGAUUACUUGGAAAACAAGUUACAAGUUACAAAAUUCAAAAGCCUUCAUUCAAGUGUGCAAAUACAUUACAAAGGUAUCAAAAAUGGAAAUUACAAGGAAAAUUGAUAUUUGACCUACAGUUGACUUUUUGGUCAAUUGUUAACUUUUGGUCAGACAGUUGACCACAGUCCCACCUCUACCCUAUACCUAUUUCCAAGCAGUUCCAAAUAUCUUCAAGCCUUGUGUCAUGGUUGAUUCUUCAUGUUCUUCAAGUAUGUUAAGUUUCUUCAAGUCCAUGCCAUGACCAAGCUUCAUCCCACCAAGCUUUCACUUUGCCAUGCCUUGACUUAGAUCCUCCAAGCACCCAAGUUCCAUACACCAAGCCCUAUCUUAUCAAGCAAACAACAAACCUGCAACAAGAGAUCAAAAACAACGGUGCAUAACAAAAUUGAACUAGUAGGAAUGAUCUAACACUUAGAAAACAUUCAAAGACCAAUCAUGCUUUAGAAUUUGAAGUUGCAUAACAUCUAAAAGUACAAUUGAAUCCAUUUCUAAGUUUUAACAUAUACUUCAUUUUCCUACAUCAUGAUUCAACCACACUGGUAGUCACAACAAAUCAAGCUAAACACUUCAAGUCAGUUCAUUUCAGUACUUCAUUAACUUCUAAUAAUUAACUUUUUUUCCAACAACUUAUUUUAACUAACUUCGCCUUACCAUAAUAUUUCUAAUCCAAUCAGUAUAAUAACAAGCUUAUUAACUUCAAUCCAAUUUCAGCUAACAACCAAGCAAUCCAAAAUUUCUUACUAACUGCAUCCAACUAACAACCUCUCAUUCACCAUAUAACUAGCUACCAUUCAAACUUCAUUAGCUUCUCAACAAUUAACUAACUCAAGUUGAUCCAACAUUUUUCCUAACCUAAUUCAAUCUAACUUGUUAAUCAAACUACAACUAACAACUAACCAUAUGAUAAUUGCGAUUUAACAUAACUCUAUAACAAUAUAACUUAAAAAUGACAACAAAUUGAAGUUAAAGCCAAUUCUCCGUUACACUAACUUCUUUCCACCUAAAUGUUAAACUCAAACCAACUGACUUGUUCACAAUUAAACUAAUACUCACAUAAUAGAAUUUCUAACACUCGCUAAUUCUCAACUAAAAAACCUAACAGAACUAACCUGAACUUACCUUCGAACUCAAUCGAUUUAACAGACUUCCUGAUUUGGUUAACCUUCAACUAACUUGCAAAGAGAGAAAUUAACAUAGUUAAUCUUGCCCUAACCUAUAACUAAUCCUGACCGAGCUACCCAAAUUUUUUAUCACUCUCACUCUAUAAAUCAACAUCAUCCUCAAUCAUUCAAGGAGAAUUCAAUCAUUAGCACACAGAAUUUCACAAACUCUCUUUCACUCUUCAUCACUCUCUCUCAGACUCUCUCUCCAUCUUAAUCUUCCUCACUGUCACUACACACUAAUAUCACCAUAGUUGUUAGAGCUUCAACAUCUAAAGCUCUAAAUAGUUGAGCUAAAUCCUCACCUCUCACGCACACUCAAACAACAAGCCACAUAGCAUAAUUCGAACCCACAUACUACAUUUGAAGAUGAAGAAGAAGGUUGCAGUGGAUUAGGGAUCAAAGAGCUUACCGUAUUCGAAGCGCCUAUGGAUUUCUUAUCAUCUUCCUCUUCAAACUUUUCAACCUUGAACGAAGCAAUUCACCGCUUCGAAGGUAGGAUCUCAUCUCUCUUGAUUUCGUCUAUUUUUGUUAUUACCAGAUGAUAGAAUUGACAUAGAUAAGCCUUAGCCCUAAGUUCUGAGGUUGAAAUUAGUUAUAGUUCACGUUUAAUUUGGAUCUGAGAAGUUAGGGUUCAUACAUUUUCUUCUUCGAUUUGAACUUUGAGGGAGGAUUUAGGAAAAAGUAAUAUUAUAUUAAGAGAGCGAGAGCGAGAGAGAGAGAGAGAGAGAGAGAGAGAGAGAGAGGGGGUAGAGAGACGGUUCAAGUGAUGUAGGUUUGGUAGUGGUUGGACCUCCUUCGUCGCUAAGGCGAUUUAUGGCAUGACGGAGUUGAUAUUCAAUGGAGGUUUUUUUUAGUGACCUAAGUUUGGACUUGGAACAAAGAAGCAUAAAUGAACACACUGAUCUCCCUUCCCUUUAUCUUGGCUCAUGAUAUUGGGCUUGAUACCUUAGGCAUAUGGCCUUCACUGAAUGCACCAUCUUUUUUCACAUCAUACCACUAUGCUCUUUUGCCAAGCACAUUCU